rnacentral:lncRNA from 1 species
CAUGCACAGUUAAGCUGGCAAUACUAUGUACACUCUUUUAAUUGCCAGCAUCAAAUCUCCAUGAGAACUGCAAGAGGAAAACCUCCACGUUUUUGAGCUUUCUAAUUUUUUGGUGUUUUUUAUAUUAUGAAAAAUACUGUCGGCUCUUUCAAGCUUCAAUAACUGACAUUUCCCACCUCAGGUUCUCAAGGCCCUUUGCAAAGAAAGGCAAACAAUGAAAGAAUGUGAAAAAUGCUUUUGGGUGAGAGAGAAAAUUAAAUUACGCUCAUGUUCUUACAAAAUACCAGAAGAGAAGAAAGGCAAGCAGCUUCUACUGAGAGAAAUCUGAAAAGCACAGUGCUCACAGAAGAGAGUUGGGAACGGUGUUUGAAUUACAGGAGAUGCAGAUAAGAACAGCUACCUACAGAAAACCCUAGAACCUGUCUCUCGGGGCUUUCUCCACCCAAGGCAUGUAAGAGGUUACUGGCCACAGAUGUUUGCUGCCAGCCCACCUGCCAGCUCCAGCUGGCCUGAUCCAGCCGUACCAUAAUAGGGCUAGCCCCAGAUGGAGCUUGUGGAGUGAGGUCUUGGUUUCUUUUCAUUGAUGAGGGCUCUUCCACGUGAAGAUGACUCAGAAGGUGAUGUUGAAACAUGGUGAAUUCUGUCUGAAAAGCUACUGACAGUGACAUUGUGGUUUCUGGC